rnacentral:lncRNA from 1 species
AUGUACUGUGUGCCUCAGGGGUGGAAAUCCACUCAGUUGAAUAUGACUGAUUAUGCCCUCACCAAGGAAAGGUCUCUCACUCUGAAGAGAAAAGCUCUAUUUUUGUUUGACAGUCCUACCCUGUCAUAUACUGGGAUUAUUAUGGUCCCUGUUAGGAGCUCCCUGGCAGAGUGCAGCUGGUUGUCACACGGAGCUUCUGAGAGACAUUUGACACCACUGACUUCUCUGGAGCAACAACUUCAUCCUCUGUGUGGGAGCGGAGUGGCUGAAGAAGAAAGAAUUGACAUACACGAAGUGCCUUGGACAAGCUUGCAGUUCAGAUAAACCAAAUCUCACUCAAACACUCUGCUGUAAGUCCAAAUAUUUUUUUUUUUUUGCUACUGUUGUUGUCCCCUUAGUCUCCUUCAGUUUGCUCUGUAGCCAGGCUGGACCCAGCUGAUGCAGCAGGGAUUCAAAGGGCUUUAGUGUUGACAUUGCAUCAGCUCCUGCUGUGCUCAGGGACCCUUGCUGCCAGCUCUCCAUGGCAAGGAUCCCAGCAGUCCACCUUGUAGAGCUGCACCAAACCCCCGAGGUGGGUGGCUUUAGGAAGCUGGUACCCUGCUAGGGGAGGAUGUCACAGAGCUGGCAGGCACCCAUUGGGUGACCCCAGCACGUCUGUGCUGGGGCUGAGCACUGAGGGGCACCUUAGAGAAAAGCUGCAGACAGGAAAGCAGGAAAUGUUUUGCAGAACAGAGAUAACAUAGAAAAUAAUGCUCUGUAAAUGGUUUGAUUUACUGAUUUACAUGUACAGGGGCUGCCAUGUAAGCACACAGGAAAAGGAAAUGGAACGGAGGAGGAGGGGGAGGAAAAAGGCAAGAGGACAACAAAAAAGCUGGCUGGUUUCAUUGGGAGCAGUACUUUAUGGGCUGGGUGUUCUCCUGAGCGUGGUGUGUUGUUGAGGUCUGCAGUCACACAUGGACACUCAGGACUGUGAACCCUUUAGUUGAAAAGGAUGUCUCUCUUUAUCAAAAUGUGCAACUUGCAUCAUCUUGGGGUCCUUCUGCACUGAGAAUUCCCUGAUGUAUACAGCUGGAAUCACCCUGGGCACACCAGACCUGAUCUAGAGCAAACCAGGUCUUGAGCCACUGAUCUGAACUUCAGCUGUGUGAUGGAGUAGUCACAGAGGGUAGAGUUGUGAGCCCUGUGCUCUGUUGCUCAGACUUUCUCAAAAAAGGGAAGACUUCAGAGGUCUCUGUGACUUCCUUUGGGGUGAACCCUCCCUUGACACGAGCCUCAGCAAGCAGUGGGAUGCACGCUCCUGCCAGCAGCAGGUCUCUCUGCAGAAAUGCUGUGCACAAGUGAUUUUUUGUGAGCCUUUGCCAGACUUUUUGUGGCCGACCUGUCUGCACCUCAGUGGGGGAGCUGACAGACCUGGACAAGCUCUAUUUUACAGUUACUUGUUUCUUCAUUUGAUCCAUUUCCUUUAUGUCAUUGACCUCCAGUGGGGAAACUGAGGCUCAUAUGUGGUUGGUGAGCUGGAUGAUGAUUCCAUUUUGCAGUGGCCAGGCCAUGGAACCAUCUCCUGCAGCUGGAUGGUUACCUCUGAUGUCGUUUUUGAGGAAUCUCCUCUGAGUCUUUGGGAGUGCUGGUGGCUGUGAAAGACCCCUUCCAGUCUCUGCUGGAAUCAUUUAGGUUGGAAAAGACCUCUAGAAUCAUCCAGUCCAACUGUUAACCCAGCUCUGCCAAGUUUACCACCAAACUAUGUCCCUAAGUUCCACAAGCACACAUUUUUUGAGCACUUUCAGUGAUGAGUUCAAAAAAUGUACUGUUAUAAGCAACUCAGUGUUUUGAAGAAAAUAAAUUACCUGGUGAAACUAUUAUAUUAAGCCUC